GGCGGGGUUACCUAACGGCGAUUGAAAAAGAUCACUGGCGAAAUCCUGCACCUCCCACGCCAAUGAGUGGAAGCCGCCGGUAACCUAUAUCCUUGGAAAUGAAACUCAGCAGCUGAUGGGUGAAGAAACAUUUUGGGAACAGUGACCAAAAUUCUAAGUUUGGCCACAACAUGGUCUGAGCCCUAAAAGUUAAGGAAGUCUACAUCAAUGGUGCUGAGGUCAAGAGGGUUGAGAGCUUCAAGUUCCUGGGUGCGAACAUCACCAACAGCCUGUCCUGGUCAAAUCACGUAGAUGCCAUGGCCAAGCAAGCUCACAAGCACCUCUACUUCCUCAGGAGGCUAAAGAAAUUUGGUUUGUCCCCUUUGACUCUCACCAACUUUUACUGAUGCACCAUAGAAAGCAUCCUAUCUCGAUGUAUCACGGCUUGGUAUGGCAACUGCUCUGCCCAGGACCACAAGAAGCUGCAGGGAGUUGUGGACACAGCCCAGCGCAUCACAGACACCAGCCUUCCCUCCUUGGACUCUGUCUUUACCUCUCGUUGUCUUGGUGAAGCAGCCAGCAUAAUCAAAGACCCCACCCACCCGGGACAUUCUCUCUUCUCUCCUCUUCCAUCGGGUAGGAGAUACAGGAGCCUGAGGGCACGUACCACCAGACUUAAGGACAGCUUCUACCCCACUGUGAUAAGACUAUUGAAUGGUUCCCUUAUACAAUGAGAUGGACUCUGACCUCACUAUCUACCUUGUUGUGACCUUGCACCUUAUUGCACUGCACUUUCUCUGUAGCUGUGACACUUACUUCUGUACUGUUACU